GCGCAGAUAGUUCAGUAGUAGAACUUCCCCUAUUCCAAGGGGAGAGCGGCGGUGCAAUUCCGACCUCUGCGCUCCA
rnacentral:tRNA from 1 species